rnacentral:tmRNA from 1 species
GGGGCUGACUUGGAUUUCGACAGAUUUCUUGUCGCACAGACAGCAUGCCAAGUGCUGCUUGUAAAACAGCAACAAAAAUAACUGUAAACAACACAGAUUACGCUCCAGCUUACGCUAAAGCUGCGUGAGUUAAUCUCCUUUUGGAGCUGGACUGAUUAGAAUUUCUAGCGUUUUAAUCACUCCAUAACCUUAAGCUAGACGCCUUUAAAAGGUGGUUCGCCUUUUAAACUAAGAAACAAGAACUCUUGAAACUAUCUCAAGGUUUUAGAAAGUUGGACCAGAGCUAGUUUUAAGGCUAAAAAACCAACCAAUUUUCUAAGCAUUGUAGAAGUUUGUGUUUAGGGCAAGAUUUUUGGACUGGGGUUCGAUUCCCCACAGCUCCACCA